AGUGAACGCUGGCGGUAGGCCUAACACAUGCAAGUCGAACGGCAGCACCGUAAGAGCUUGCUCUUACGGGUGGCGAGUGGCGGACGGGUGAGGAAUACAUCGGAAUCUACUUUUUCGUGGGGGAUAACGUAGGGAAACUUACGCUAAUACCGCAUACGACCUACGGGUGAAAGCAGGGGAUCUUCGGACCUUGCGCGAUUGAAUGAGCCGAUGUCGGAUUAGCUAGUUGGCGGGGUAAAGGCCCACCAAGGCGACGAUCCGUAGCUGGUCUGAGAGGAUGAUCGGCCACACUGGAACUGAGACACGGUCCAGACUCCUACGGGAGGCAGCAGUGGGGAAUAUUGGACAAUGGGCGCAAGCCUGAUCCAGCCAUACCGCGUGGGUGAAGAAGGCCUUCGGGUUGUAAAGCCCUUUUGUUGGGAAAGAAAAGCAGCAGGUUAAUACCCCGCUGUUCUGGCGGUACCCAAAGAAUAAGCACCGGCUAACUUCGUG
rnacentral:rRNA from 1 species